GAUUAUUGCGAUUACGGUUUCAAUAACAUGACUUAAUAAAACAAGAGAAUUCUAUUCUUUCACUUAAUUGUGUAAACACAUAAAUAUUG
rnacentral:sRNA from 12 species